rnacentral:rRNA from 1 species
GCGUGCUUAACACAUGCAAGUCGAACGGUGAACACGGAGCUUGCUCUGUGGGAUCAGUGGCGAACGGGUGAGUAACACGUGAGCAACCUGCCCCUGACUCUGGGAUAAGCGCUGGAAACGGCGUCUAAUACUGGAUAUGUGACGUGACCGCAUGGUCUGCGUUUGGAAAGAUUUUUCGGUUGGGGAGGGGCUCGCGGCCUAUCAGCUUGUUGGUGAGGUAAUGGCUCACCAAGGCGUCGACGGGUAGCCGGCCUGAGAGGGUGACCGGCCACACUGGGACUGAGACACGGCCCAGACUCCUACGGGAGGCAGCAGUGGGGAAUAUUGCACAAUGGGCGAAAGCCUGAUGCAGCAACGCCGCGUGAGGGAUGACGGCCUUCGGGUUGUAAACCUCUUUUAGCAGGGAAGAAGCGAAAGUGACGGUACCUGCAGAAAAAGCGCCGGCUAACUACGUGCCAGCAGCCGCGGUAAUACGUAGGGCGCAAGCGUUAUCCGGAAUUAUUGGGCGUAAAGAGCUCGUAGGCGGUUUGUCGCGUCUGCUGUGAAAUCCCGAGGCUCAACCUCGGGCCUGCAGUGGGUACGGGCAGACUAGAGUGCGGUAGGGGAGAUUGGAAUUCCUGGUGUAGCGGUGGAAUGCGCAGAUAUCAGGAGGAACACCGAUGGCGAAGGCAGAUCUCUGGGCCGUAACUGACGCUGAGGAGCGAAAGGGUGGGGAGCAAACAGGCUUAGAUACCCUGGUAGUCCACCCCGUAAACGUUGGGAACUAGUUGUGGGGUCCAUUCCACGGAUUCCGUGACGCAGCUAACGCAUUAAGUUCCCCGCCUGGGGAGUACGGCCGCAAGGCUAAAACUCAAAGGAAUUGACGGGGACCCGCACAAGCGGCGGAGCAUGCGGAUUAAUUCGAUGCAACGC